ACAACACGUGCGCUGGAAAAUGGUGGCCAUCUUGUCUCCUGAAAGCAGGCAGUAGAACCAGGUUGUUGAGUGUCUGGAACUCUAAGUCAGACACUCAACCCUGCAAACAACAAUAAUUUUUGUAUGAACGCCUCCUUCAUUUGGAGACAAGCCAGGAAAACGCUGUUCGGUAGGAUUGUUCGCACGAACCAGGUGAACGAUCGUUACCUAUGAGCC